ensembl:snoRNA SNORA70 Small nucleolar RNA SNORA70
CUCCAGCCAAUUAAGCCAAAUGUUCUGUUUGGGGCACACCCCUGGGGGCUGGCAUGCAAUGGCUGCAAACAGUACCCUCCUUGGUAGUGUAUGCAGCUUGUUGCUUGAAGGGGUUGCCUUCAGGGACCUUGGAGACAGUG